rnacentral:misc_RNA from 1 species
GAUGAAGAACGCAGCGAAAUGCGAUAAGUAAUGUGAAUUGCAGAAUCCAGUGAAUCAUCGAAUCUUUGAACGCACAUUGCGCCCGCCAGUAUUCUGGCGGGCAUGCCUGUUCGAGCGUCAUUACAACCCUCAGGCCCCCGGGCCUGGCGUUGGGGAUCGGCGGAAGCCCCCUGUGGGCACACGCCGUCCCUCAAAUACAGUGGCGGUCCCGCCGCAGCUUCCAUUGCGUAGUAGCUAACACCUCGCAACUGGAGAGCGGCGCGGCCAUGCCGUAAAACACCCAACUUCUGAAUGUUGACCUCGAAUCAGGUAGGAAUACCCGCUGAACUUAAGCAUAUCAAUAAGCGGAGGA